UGUCGUGAGAUGUUGGGUUAAGUCCCGCAACGAGCGCAACCCUUGCCUUUAGUUGCCAGCGAGUUCGGCUGGGCACUCUAAAGGGACUGCCGGUGUUAAACCGGAGGAAGGUGGGGAUGACGUCAAGUCCUCAUGGCCUUUAUGACCAGGGCUACACACGUACUACAAUGGCCGAUACAAAGGGCAGCGACACUGCGGAGGUGAAGCCAAUCCCGUAAAAUCGGUCUCAGUCCGGAUUGGAGUCUGCAACUCGACUCCAUGAAGUUGGAAUCGCUAGUAAUCGUGGAUCAGCAUGCCACGGUGAAUACGUUCCCGGGCCUU
rnacentral:rRNA from 1 species